rnacentral:rRNA from 1 species
AGCGUACACGGUGGAUGCCCUGGCAGUCAGAGGCGAUGAAGGACGUGCUAAUCUGCGAAAAGCGCCGGCGAGGUGAUAUGAACCUUUGACCCGGCGAUGUCCGAAUGGGGAAACCCAGUGUGAUUCGUCACACUAUCGUUAACUGAAUACAUAGGUUAACGAGGCGAACCGGGGGAACUGAAACAUCUAAGUACCCCGAGGAAAAGAAAUCAACCGAGAUUCCCCCAGUAGCGGCGAGCGAACGGGGAGCAGCCCAGAGUCUGAAUCAGCUUGUGUGUUAGUGGAAGCGUCUGGAAAGUCGCACGGUACAGGGUGACAGUCCCGUACACGAAAGCACACAGGUUGUGAACUCGAAGAGUAGGGCGGGACACGUGGUAUCCUGUCUGAAUAUGGGGGGACCAUCCUCCAAGGCUAAAUACUCCUGACUGACCGAUAGUGAACCAGUACCGUGAGGGAAAGGCGAAAAGAACCCCGGCGAGGGGAGUGAAAAAGAACCUGAAACCGUGUACGUACAAGCAGUGGGAGCACCUUCGUGGUGUGACUGCGUACCUUUUGUAUAAUGGGUCAGCGACUUAUAUUCUGUAGCAAGGUUAACCGUAUAGGGGAGCCGAAGGGAAACCGAGUCUUAACUGGGCGUUAAGUUGCAGGGUAUAGACCCGAAACCCGGUGAUCUAGCCAUGGGCAGGUUGAAGGUUGGGUAACACUAACUGGAGGACCGAACCGACUAAUGUUGAAAAAUUAGCGGAUGACUUGUGGCUGGGGGUGAAAGGCCAAUCAAACCGGGAGAUAGCUGGUUCUCCCCGAAAGCUAUUUAGGUAGCGCCUCGUGAACUCAUCUUCGGGGGUAGAGCACUGUUUCGGCUAGGGGGCCAUCCCGGCUUACCAACCCGAUGCAAACUACGAAUACCGAAGAAUGUUAUCACGGGAGACACACGGCGGGUGCUAACGUCCGUCGUGAAGAGGGAAACAACCCAGACCGCCAGCUAAGGUCCCAAAGUCAUGGUUAAGUGGGAAACGAUGUGGGAAGGCACAGACAGCCAGGAUGUUGGCUUAGAAGCAGCCAUCAUUUAAAGAAAGCGUAAUAGCUCACUGGUCGAGUCGGCCUGCGCGGAAGAUGUAACGGGGCUAAACCAUGCACCGAAGCUGCGGCAGCGACACUAUGUGUUGUUGGGUAGGGGAGCGUUCUGUAAGCCGUUGAAGGUGUGCUGUGAGGCAUGCUGGAGGUAUCAGAAGUGCGAAUGCUGACAUAAGUAACGAUAAAGCGGGUGAAAAGCCCGCUCGCCGGAAGACCAAGGGUUCCUGUCCAACGUUAAUCGGGGCAGGGUGAGUCGACCCCUAAGGCGAGGCCGAAAGGCGUAGUCGAUGGGAAACAGGUUAAUAUUCCUGUACUUGGUGUUACUGCGAAGGGGGGACGGAGAAGGCUAUGUUAGCCGGGCGACGGUUGUCCCGGUUUAAGCAUGUAGGCGGAACGAUUAGGUAAAUCCGGUCGUUUUUUAACGCUGAGGUGUGAUGACGAGGCACUACGGUGCUGAAGUAACAAAUGCCCUGCUUCCAGGAAAAGCCUCUAAGCAUCAGGUAACAUCAAAUCGUACCCCAAACCGACACAGGUGGUCAGGUAGAGAAUACCAAGGCGCUUGAGAGAACUCGGGUGAAGGAACUAGGCAAAAUGGUGCCGUAACUUCGGGAGAAGGCACGCUGAUAUGUAGGUGAAGCCCCUGCGGGUGGAGCUGAAAUCAGUCGAAGAUACCAGCUGGCUGCAACUGUUUAUUAAAAACACAGCACUGUGCAAACACGAAAGUGGACGUAUACGGUGUGACGCCUGCCCGGUGCCGGAAGGUUAAUUGAUGGGGUUAGCGGCAACGCGAAGCUCUUGAUCGAAGCCCCGGUAAACGGCGGCCGUAACUAUAACGGUCCUAAGGUAGCGAAAUUCCUUGUCGGGUAAGUUCCGACCUGCACGAAUGGCGUAAUGAUGGCCAGGCUGUCUCCACCCGAGACUCAGUGAAAUUGAACUCGCUGUGAAGAUGCAGUGUACCCGCGGCAAGACGGAAAGACCCCGUGAACCUUUACUAUAGCUUGACACUGAACACUGGUCCUUGAUGUGUAGGAUAGGUGGGAGGCUUUGAAGUGUGGACGCCAGUCUGCAUGGAGCCGUCCUUGAAAUACCACCCUUUAAUGGCUGGUGUUCUAACGUAGACCCGUAAUCCGGGUUGCGGACAGUGUCUGGUGGGUAGUUUGACUGGGGCGGUCUCCUCCCAAAGAGUAACGGAGGAGCACGAAGGUUAGCUAAUCCUGGUCGGACAUCAGGAGGUUAGUGCAAUGGCAUAAGCUAGCUUGACUGCGAGAGUGACGGCUCGAGCAGGUGCGAAAGCAGGUCAUAGUGAUCCGGUGGUUCUGAAUGGAAGGGCCAUCGCUCAACGGAUAAAAGGUACUCCGGGGAUAACAGGCUGAUACCGCCCAAGAGUUCAUAUCGACGGCGGUGUUUGGCACCUCGAUGUCGGCUCAUCACAUCCUGGGGCUGAAGUAGGUCCCAAGGGUAUGGCUGUUCGCCAUUUAAAGUGGUACGCGAGCUGGGUUUAGAACGUCGUGAGACAGUUCGGUCCCUAUCUGCCGUGGGCGCUGGAGAAUUGAGGGGGGCUGCUCCUAGUACGAGAGGACCGGAGUGGACGCAUCACUGGUGUUCGGGUUGUCAUGCCAAUGGCACUGCCCGGUAGCUAAAUGCGGAAAAGAUAAGUGCUGAAAGCAUCUAAGCACGAAACUUGCCCCGAGAUGAGUUCU